UGUUAUACUAAUUAAUAUAAAAAAGUAAAGCAAAUUCACAUAUUUAUAAUUUUUUUCCUUCAUUAUAUAUAUACAUUAACGGGAUCCUUAUAUCGACCCGCGUACCCGAUUCACUACUCAGCGUACCCAAUUCACUCAAACUAACGUUCCACGUAUCCGAACUCGUACCGCGUACCGGAUCGAUCCACGAUCCGUGCAACACUGCUAUAACCUAUAGAGCAAUUUACCAGGAUGUCAAUUUUUUUGUAUGGUCUUAUUGGACCCUCAUGAAUUCUAGCCCCCCAUACAAAUUGAUUAGUUGAAAUUAUUUAGCUAGUUAGAUGUACUUCUGCUGAGAAGCCGUAACAAACAUUUUUCAUUUGCAGAAGUCAUUGGACGAGAAAAUCAGUAGCAAAUCUAAGCAAAGGGUGGGGUUAAAGAGUGACAUGAUAUUCAAUGUGAAACCAUCAUCCGAUGGCCAGGUAAUCUAUAGAAUUUCAAUCUGAUUAUGUUCUUGUAUUUUGCGACAUACAUGUCUUUUUGCAGGCAUGAUGUGUCUGUCUUUACUCUUAUGUUCCAUUCAUAUAGUAUAAUAGUAUUUGAAACACUACAUUUGAGAUUGGUGAACCAUUUGGAUUCCUACAAAAUGCAAUUCAAUCUUAUUGACUAUGCAUCUUAAUAUCACAUCAAUUUUUACAGUAGUUAGUUUUUUGUUCUCUAUAAACUUGCGAACAAUCUAACUUCUAAUGUUUAUUAUUGUUCCAGUCGAACAGGGUUAAAUAUAGCUUGACACCAGAAAUUAUUCAUCAGGUGGGCCUUACUUAUUUCUUUGACAAGUUGAGACCAUAUUGUAUUUUCUUAUAGGCUCGACAUUUUGGACACAGAUUCAUUCCUAAUGCUUUAUUUCAUAUCGUCUACCAGAUUUUUGCUGAAAAACCUGCUGUACGACGCGCCUAUCUAAACCUAGUACCCAAGAAGGUAAAAUAAUUAUAACUGUCCGAUUGCUUAGUUCUGUCGAUAGUAUAAAUUAAGAUCAUUACAUCUUUUUUGCUCGUAAUAAAAUAUAAAUCCGUCCUUUACAUCUAAGAUGACAGAAACGGACUUCUGGAUGAAAUACUGGAGGGCUGAAUACCUUCACAGUACCAAAAAUAUUGUUGCUGCUGCGGCUGAGGCUGCAGAAGAUGAGGAACUUGCUGUUUUCCUCAAGCAAGAUGACAUAUUGGCAAGUGAAGCUCGGCGAAAGGUGCUCUCAUGUUAUAAGAUUGGAUCUUAUAUAUUUCCUAUAUUUUGAUUAUUACAUUUUUUCAUUUUCUGCAAAAAUGAUUGUAAGAAUAGUCAACCACUGCAAUAACUCCCCUCUCUCCCUCCUUUUCACCUCAUCCACAAAAGGUUGACCAUUUUAUGCGUUUCACUGCUGUGCAGAUCAGACGGGUUGAUCCGACAUUAGACAUGGAAGCUGAUGAAGGGGAUGAUUACACACACCUCCCGGUACAUUGGAUGACAUUUCACAUCACAUUUUGUUAUUCUAUAAAUGUGAAGGCUGUUUUAAAUAUUUUUUGGCCAUAAUUCAUGUUUGCCUACUAAAUCAUAUAAAGCUGCUUUCGGUGGCUUGCUAAUAAUGUCCUUUUUGAUGAUAUCUAAAAAAGUUGAGGGCAUGCUGGUUUUGUCUCUACAAUGUAGAGUAUUACUUUUGUGAUAAUCUUUUAAACUCACAUGCACACUUCUUUUGUUCUAUAAUGCUAUAUGGAAGGUAGGUACUUGAUCUAUCUUUUUUGCACCAGGUCUUGUGCCUAAUGACGGAUUGUCCAUGAGUUCUGUUUGAAUUUCCAUGUGUAGCUUUAUAUUGGCAAAUUAAGUCCACGGUUACUAAUAGCGGUGUACAUGCAGGAUCAUGGGCUAUCUCGUGAUGUUUCGAAGGACUUGACGGACUCGCAAUAUGAUCUGUAUAAAAGAUCAUUUCUGCAAGACCUUAAUAGACACGCUGCAGUUGUUCUUGAAGGAAGAUCUGUAGGUGAUAAUCUAAAUAAUUAACCCCCUUUUUUUUUAUUUUAAAUUUUAGCAAUUUUGUAAUGUAUUUAAUCUUAAAAGAAAGGUGUUCUUCUCUGGGUUCACUAGACGAGACUCGUGCUCAGUAGUGGUUUGUUAGUCGGUACUUGAUUGAAUGAUUGUUAUAGGCUUUUUGUGCAUUGAGCAAAUAGUGACAUGAAAAAGAGUGCAAUUCUCCUUGGCACUUUGCUAGAAGGAACCACAUGUGCAGCAACUUGAUAGUAUAAGGGCCUAAAGGGUAUCGAGACGGGAGGAAAUUACUUUAUAAGAUGGAAUCUCAUAGUAUAAGUGAAGAGGAAAGGGGCAGAGGUUUCUCUCAAAUUCUUCCCCUUUUCUUUUUUGAUUUGAGUUGUGUGGUGGGAGUUGGAGGUAGGGAGGUAGUGAGGUACGGGUUGGGGCUGAUUCUCUCGAUAAUCUUUAUAAUUAGGAGAUGCUACUAUUUUAAGAUAAGUAUGGGUACAAGUAUAAAAUCAUUGAACCAGUUAUUGGGGGUGUCAUGACCAUUCAUAGAAUUAUUCAUUCUGGAUCAUUAGCUAAUACUAAACCUUGUUUCUAUAUCAUGUAGUCCCUCCGUCCCAGCCAAUAGUAUACAUUGGGGGACGGGGACGUGGCACGGAUUUUAAUACCUUAAUAAAGUAUAGUUCUGCAACUUAUUUUUAAGAUUUUCUUUUUCUAUAUAAAAAUAUAACAUUUAUAUUUUUAUACAAAAAAAGAAAAUUUUAUAAAUAAGUUAUAGAACUAUAUUUUAUAAGAGACUUAAAAUGCGUGCCGAGCAGUGAAAAAGAAACAUAUACAAUUGAAUGGGACAGAGGAAGUAGACACAUAUAUAUAAUACAAUCACCAUGUUCCCUCUCUACAGGUUAAUAUUCAUUUUUAAUGAACACAUAACUAUGAUUAAAGACAUAAUUCUUUUGAUUUUUAGAAUAUCACAUCCCUUAAAAGCCAUAUGAUGAUAUAUAAUUUAGAUUGCAGGCCAGAGUUUGUUAUAUCAGGUCCCAUUGUUACUCCAAACAUUCUGAUAAUGCCAUGUUUGAAGAGUCUACAAUCGACUAGGCUCUGUUAUCUUGUUUUCUAUACAAAUAUGACUUGAGUAAUUGUUGUGGUUGCUAUGUGCUAAUAAAUGUAAGGCUAAAACCUAUAACCAUUUUGUAUGAUCUAUCUGUACCUUUUACUGUUAGAUGUGGAGUUGGGAGAUACAAGGUCUGUUGCUGAAGCACUUACCAGGUUAAAAGAAGGUUAGCAUAGUUCGAUCUUGCUUGCUCUGUGGUUUCUGCUCAUCUGACAACUUCUUUAUGCAAGAUUAUAUUCAGAUUUAUAUUAUAUUAAUUACUGACACAAAGCGCUUUUUGUGCAGUUGAGUCGGCUAAUGAAGCAUCGAACACCCAUGUGGAGCAAGGGCGCUCUGAUCUGAUAUCUAGGAUGGCUGAGUUAGAGGAUCUUCAGGGACCUCGUGACCAUCCAGUUGCCCCGCUUAGUAUCAAGGUUAGAUUUUUUGAAAACAGGAUCCGCUUGGAAUGCUAAAAGGGUGAUUUAUAUUCGAAAAUUUGUAUCAGGAUCCUCGUGACUACUUUGAUUCUCAACAAGCCAAUGCAAUUAAAACUUUGGGGGAGUCCCAAUCUGGAUCAAAGCAUAAAAAAAGUAUCCUUAAUGCUCACGAGGCAUAUGGUUCCUUAAGAAAGUCAAUAUCUGAAAUAAAAGAUCUAGGUUUGACUGAUCCUAUAAUUAAAUCAGAAGUUGCUAUGAAGGUAAUAUUUUUACCUUUAACUCAUCUAUGCUGUUUAUUCUGGAAGAACAUAAUCACACAAU
rnacentral:lncRNA from 1 species